rnacentral:rRNA from 1 species
GUUUGAUCCUGGCUCAGAACGAACGCUGGCGGCGUGCCUAACACAUGCAAGUCCAACGUGAAAGGGGAGCAAUCCCCCGGUAGGGUGGCAAACGGGUGAGUAAUACAUGGGUGAUCUACCUUAGGGAUGGGGAUAUCCUUCCGAAAGGAGGGGCAAUACCGAAUAUUGUCCGGAGCCGUGAAGGGUUCCGGGGAAAGGGAGGCCUCUGAUACAAGCUUUCGCCUUAAGAUGAGCCCAUGGCCCAUCAGCUAGUUGGUAGGGUAAAGGCCUACCAAGGCUACGACGGGUCGCUGGUCUGAGAGGACGACCAGCCACACUGGCACUGAGAUACGGGCCAGACUCCUACGGGAGGCAGCAGUGAGGAAUAUUGCGCAAUGGGGGAAACCCUGACGCAGCAACGCCGCGUGUGGGAAGAAGGCCUUCGGGUCGU